AUACGUAGGGGGCGAGCGUUGUCCGGAAUGAUUGGGCGUAAAGGGCGCGUAGGCGGCCCGGUAAGUCUGGAGUGAAAGUCCUGUUUUUAAGAUGGGAAUUGCUUUGGAUACUGUCGGGCUUGAGUGCAGGAGAGGUAAGUGGAAUUACCAGUGUAGCGGUGAAAUGCGUAGAGAUUGGGAGGAACACCAGUGGCGAAGGCGACUUACUGGACUGUAACUGACGCUGAGGCGCGAAAGUGUGGGGAGCAAACAGGAUUAGAUACCCUGGUAGUCCACACUGUAAACGAUGAAUGCUAGGUGUAGGGGGUAUCGACCCCUUCUGUGCCGCAGUCAACACAAUAAGCAUUCCGCCUGGGGAGUACGGCCGCAAGGUUGAAACUCAAAUGAAUUGACGGGG
rnacentral:rRNA from 1 species